rnacentral:rRNA from 1 species
GAUGAACGCUAGCGGCAGGCCUAACACAUGCCAGUCGAGGGGGAAGUUACUUUCGGGUGACUGAGACCGGCGUACGGGUGCGUAACGCGUAUACAAUCUGCCUUUCACUGGGGGAUAGCCCGAAGAAAUUUGGAUUAAUACCCCAUAGUAUAUAGGGACGGCAUCGUUUUUAUAUUAAAGCUUAGGUGGUGAAAGAUGAGUAUGCGUUCUAUUAGCUAGUUGGAGAGGUAACGGCUCCCCAAGGCGAUGAUAGAUAGGGGUUCUGAGAGGGAUGUCCCCCACACUGGUACUGAGAUACGGACCAGACUCCUACGGGAGGCAGCAGUGAGGAAUAUUGGACAAUGGUCGGAAGACUGAUCCAGCCAUGCCGCGUGCAGGAUGAAGGUCUUAUGGAUUGUAAACUGCUUUUGUAAGGGAAGAAUAAGGGCUACGCGUAGUUUGAUGACGGUACCUUACGAAUAAGCAGCGGCUAACUCCGUG